AACCCGACAGUUUAAAUAAGUGUUAAAUGCUACCAUUAAACUUAUCAUAUAUCACGCAUAGACCGAUUUUGUUUACCGUAGUAACAAUUUCAGCGUGAAUCACCCAUCACACAGUGAAUCACUGAAAUUUACCCAAUAUCAGUAUCACUUACGCAACUGCAGACAGCUGCUUAAUACAGUCACACUUGUCUUGACUUGGCGCAAUAAAAAUCUUCAUUGAGACACCCGUUCACGCGGGCAGAUCGGUGAUCAUUUUUGUUUUGUUGCAUUCACGCAUACAAAAUUUUUUGAUUUCUCUGUAUCGCUUAUUCUUAAGGACAACGCGUUACACCGUGACAAAUUUCUUUAUGGAUAACUCAGGGAAAGUUUGGCUAAUACGUACGAGUACAUUUUUUUCUACACACACACACACACACUCACAAUUAUUUUUGURUCGCUGUGUAUCAACUACUACUCAGCACUCAAUGGUAAACUUUGGCUGCGCUUGCGCGGUCAGUUUAAAGUUUAACUGCAACAUGAGAGACAUUGAGCACGCACGUGUUGUGUCUUCGGACGCUUCACAUCACGCUGAGCAGACUUUGCGAAGUUUACUUUGCGAAGCAUGUCAUACAAGCAUCUACAGCAUCAAGUCACAGGGUUGGCAAGUGUAUUUUUGAACCUUCAAAGCAGUCACGCAUACGGAAGAGUAGUUUCUGAUCCCAUAGAAGGAGCACCGUACAAUGAGAGACCGCUCUUAGUUCUAAGGAACGCAGCAGGCGCGUAAAUUGCCCAAUGCUAGUACCCUACAAUCAAAUUGUAUUUACAUGCGUUAACAAUUUACAACAUUACAAGUUUUAAUGACAGACAUUAUCAACACUUUCAUUUUUUCUGUUAUAUCAUACACAUAUUAUCCUUGUUCGUUGUACAUCAGCAUAUAUAGUAUUAAUUUAUUAUUUUACUGAGGCAGUGACAAGCUGUAACGGUUGAGUAUAAAAAUGACGAGUGUCUGGCAUUGCCGCUCUUUCGGGAGCUUGGCAAGUUGCCGACGCUUUGUGUGCUCAAUUGGAAUGCGGUGAGUUUAAGCAACUCAGAACCUUUGGACGGUGUUAGUAAAAUU
rnacentral:rRNA from 1 species